GCGCCAGUAGCUCAGUUGGACAGAGCAGCUGCCUUCUAAGCAGCGGGUCGGGGGUUCGAGUCCCUCCUGGCGCGCCG
rnacentral:tRNA from 1 species